rnacentral:sRNA from 1 species
UGCAAAAUAUUGGAGAUUGAACUACUUUAGCCACAAAACAGGUCCAGCACAGGCAGCAGUAGUGCAAGCAUCCCACAUACUGCCCCAUGACUCAGCCCUGGACUGCAGGCACUGUCCAUAGGACUGAGAAGGGAAUUCAGUCUCCCUGAUCCAUACAGUCUGACUUUUCU